rnacentral:lncRNA from 1 species
UGGGAGGAUUUGGGGAGAAAAAGCAAUUAAAAAAACAACAGAAGAUUGGCAAGAGUUGUUAGCUCAGUGCACAAGGGUUCUUGAUUCUCCAUGUCCUCACCAACACUCGUUACUUCUCGUCUUUGUGAUAAUAGCCAUUCUAACAGGUCGGCAUAAAUAGAGACAGAGAGAACUAGAGAGCCAGCAAGAGACAACAGAGUCCUGACGUCUUUUCAGGGGUACGUUGUAUCCAUUUCUACAUUUCCAUAUCUUUUCUCUAGUUUAAGUGUUUUUCUUGAGCCACUUUAACUUUUUUUCUCCCCAAAUCCUCCCAGCACAUAGUUGUGUAUUUUUAGCUGUGGGUCCUUCUAGUUGUGGCAUGUGGGAUGUUGCCUCAACGUGGCCUGACCAGUGGUGCCAUGUCCGUGCCCAGGAUCCGAACCCGUGAAACCCUGGGCGGUGGAAGCGGAGCGGCGAACUUAAUCACUUGGCCACGGGGCGGCCCCUAAUUUUUCUAAAAAGUAGAGAUGGAAGGAGUCUCCUCUAUGCCCGUCCCAGUUGGGUUGGGGUUCACUUAAACUGGCCAGGGAUAAAGAACUCGCCAGGCCCCUGAGGGGUACUGAUGGUAACCCCUUUUUAAAUGGGAAAGCCUUACGAAAUCUAUAACGGGAACAAGAACGUGUUAACAGGGGUGUCUUCCCGGGUUUUUCUCCACGUGGCAGGUCAUUUCUACCCCAUAAAGUAGUUAGGUGAG